UACGUAGGGUGCGAGCGUUAAUCGGAAUUACUGGGCGUAAAGCGUGCGUAGACGGUUGCGUAAGUCAGAUGUGAAAGCCCCGGGCUCAACCUGGGAAUUGCAUUUGAGACUGCGUAGCUAGGGUGCGGAAGAGGGAAGCGGAAUUUCCGGUGUAGCGGUGAAAUGCGUAGAUAUCGGAAGGAACACCAGUGGCGAAAGCGGCUUCCUGGUCCAGCAUCGACGUCAGGCACGAAAGCGUGGGGAGCAAGACGG
rnacentral:rRNA from 1 species